ACUGGUUGUACCUUUAUUAUUUUUACCUCGUUCACUAAUAGUUCCGUGAUGCAAGGUUACCAUACACAGUUAGAUAAUGUCUGCAUUGCACAUCUAAGGCUAUACAGCAAAAGAACCAGAAUUAGUACAAAUACAAGAACUAUAUUUACAUUCUGUAUACUCAGGCUCCGCACAUCAGAUAAUAUUUACAUAAUAAAACAUGAAAAUGAGAAUCGGAAAUUAAUCAUGUACAUUGUUGCUAAAUGUGCUCAACUCCUUCCCUGGGGAGAGAUCAGGUUGCAAAGUCUUGGUUCAAAAAGGCCACUUAUGCUUCAUGGGUUGUGUGCAUGAGGAUGGUGACAAGGGACUGGAAGUCUCACCGGACAAGUACGUCAGAGCCACAAAGUCUAAGACGACUCAUGAGAAGGCUGAUGGAUUCCUCAGGUGAACGGAUGCCAGAAUACAGAGCAUGAAAAAAAUUAACUUGAAGACACGAAAACAACACACGGCGGCCAGGGUUUGGCAAGAGACCAACCUCAACUCGGACGUUCCGUCUGAGCACGAGCCGUUUUGGCUGAGUUUUUAAUGCGAAAUCUGUAUCAACUCUAACUUCUCCCUUUAAAUGACUAGAGGCGUUCCUAAGAUUUUACGGGGCUCGAACACAGGUUUCAUAAAUGGCCUUUUGGAACACAACAGCAGCAGAUCACCUCUCAGCUGAUACCUCCGUUUACUAAGGAAGCACAGAUCAGUACAUUCCUGCUACACCGUCACGGUCUGGCCACACACGUGGGUGAGUCAGCACUGGCCACAGUGGACAGCUGCAGUGCACACGAGUUAGAGUCCUAUUUAAAAUACAUUCAGCAAACCUUCCGAGAGCAGCAGCAAAAUUAGUCUCUUUCUUUUUAAAGAGCAGGUUAACAAUCACAUUUUGAAAAGGGCACCAAAAGGUAAAACGAAGGACCCAAGUCAAACGAGAAACGAACAAGCCCUGAUACUGUCCAGGAGAACCCUGGUGGAACCCAGACGAGGGAGUGCCAAGUACCAGCAGGUGCUACACGCUAGGUCAUCCUUGCUUUUCCAGUUCAAUGUGCAAUUAAUCACAGCUAUAUAAAUAUACAAAUACCUUACAAAAUUAAAUAUCCCUGUAAAUUAGACAACAAGCAGCAGACAACAAAGUCUUUGCUUUGAUAUAUGUGUCAGGAGAAGUCAUUUUACUUUAGGUACCAAAAGAUCUUCCACAAUGGCUUAACUGAUUCCUUCAUCUUACGAGAGCUGAAAAAUCUCAUCCGAGAUACGAGUAGUAGUAGUUGGGAAAAAUCAUUUCCCUUGACUUCCCUCACAUUAUCGAAACGUAUUGGAAUCCAAGUGCUCAUCCAGCUGCCAAAAGCAGCCCUUCCCUGCGCUCGCGGCUGCGUGCGUGGGCUGGUGGACCCCGCAGAGCCCGGCCUGAGAGCUGAGUGACCCCCAGGCAGGCGCGGAGACAGGAGGGUGUGAGCACCGGUCUGGUGGAAGCUGUGAGGCCGUCUUUUGCUCUGGCAGGAGAAAGGAGGAUUGGGGAGGGAGGGGAGGAGAUGGUUACUCCAGCACUCAUUUCCCCGAAAUUUGUAUAAGUGUUCUUUCUUGCUUUAUUAUUAUUAAUAUUUGCUUGUUUAAAGGUGUGCUUCAAGAAAAAAAAAAAAAAAGGAAA